ensembl:lncRNA
GCGCUCUGAUAUUUGAUCGCAGCAUACUGACUCCGUCGUCAUGUUAAAUGUUUGUGGAGUCCCGCAAGGAAACCACCGUGGGCCGUUGACACGCACACGCACACGCGCACACACAGAAGAAUCUCUAUUGUGGGUCACGGCUCCCUGAAGAGGCUUUUAUUGCUUGUAUUGAUCGCGCAGCGGGAUCAAUAUGUUUGGGGGGGUCUUCCUGCCCCAGAAGGACGGUGACGCACCGUCGCAGAGACGGCGCACAUUUAAAUGGACAGGUGGGGAGCUUCCCCGCCGGAUACCCGACACAUCCCGCCUGCCUAUACAGUAAUUUACAUUUUCCAUCUGGUGCUCCUGCGCGUGUCCACACAGACUGCGUGCACCCUGAUCCGGUCCGGCCCGGUGCCAGCUUGAUCGCGUUGGCGGUUGGAGCUGCUGCUAAGCGCUGGUGAAUCACGCCCGAGCAGGUUACCUUGCCGUAUAGCUGCCGGGGAAGCGGAGCAGCGACGGCUGCGUCCACCUCGCUGCCGCUGACCUUGGAGGUCACUCGCCAGGAAGGAGACAUUCAUCACUCUGACACUUCUGGGGGAAAGUGGAUGGUGCGUUUGUGUUGUCUGCUUGCAGUUUAUUCCUCAUCAUUUCCUCACUGUGAUGAUCUACUCAGCUUACGGAGAUUCUGUAUUCUGAGUGUUGUUGUUCAUUUAAAUUAAGAUGCAACGGUUUAACAAACGCCUGCACUACUCUGUGUCCGGUGAAACAUCGGUCUUCCUUCUCUCCCUCUCAUGCCUCCUCUGCAUACGGUUGCUGCUGGUGGACAAAUAUCGACCGUCGUUGGACCAAGUGCCUGUUUGCUCCCCAGAAAAGACUCAUCGUGUUACAACAGAUUGAUGUCUUUGCCCCCAAGGACUUUAAUCUCCUUUCAAAUAAAAAAUGGAAACAAUCAUAGCUGCUGGUGGGGGUGACACUUUCAAUGAUGUAGCACACUCGCCAACUCCCCCCCCACUCCCACCCGCCCCAAACAGCGGAGUGACCUUGGCAGGUGUGUUCUUUGUUGAUUUUGAAGGAUGACAAAGUGAGAGGCUUUCAUAGCAUACUGUGUCCUCUCUUUCUCCCAGUCUCCUCUCUGUAGGGGGGGUGCUUCAUGUGUGUGUGUGGGUGUCUGUCAGUGUUCGUGCUUUGAAGAUGUGAUGCGGUCAUAAAAGGAGGGAAGGAAGCAGCUUAAAGAUGUGACGCAGAGAAUUAGAAAGAGACGGAUUGCACGAAUAAAGCAUUCAGAAAAGGCAAAAUAAUAUUUGCUGAAGCUGAAUUGUUCAAUUGAAUCAUUUGAAUCAAAGGCACACAAUUAUAUUGUGCGUACCAUGAAUGUGAUUAACGCUGUAUGGGGGUGUAAUGCCCACCCACACCGCUCACGUAUAUCACUUAUUAGAUAGAAAGCACCGUCACUUAUCUCUCUCUAUUAAUACACAAUCUAUGAUUGGGCUCAAACAUCAGCGUUAAAACGAUGCUGAAAGAGAAAAAGUUGUUGUGUUUGUUUUUGUCAAUGAUUUGCUACAAAUGUAAAACAUUGAUAGUUGAAUCUUUUGGUAAGAGACAUCUACCAUUUUUUAGAUCACUCUAGCAGUCACACACUAUGGGGACCAAAUGCUGUGCAGUGAAUGAGUAGAAGUAAACAAUACCAGUUAUCUUAUUUGAGGUCGAGGCGAAUGAGCUGCCAAAUGAAGUAGGAACACUGUCUUUUAACACGGAAACUCUACAAAGAUGCUGCAUCCCAUCAGACUUCACGGACUCCGCCAGAGCGACGCCGAUGGAUUCAAUGUGAUGAUUGACUCGCUGGGAUGGACUCGCGCUCCAUACUUUCACCCGCUGUCUCGCUACACUUGAAACGUGACGUUUAGCUCGGAGGCGUGAGGCCGCCGGUGGUUUUCAGAUUACUGCUGAACUGUCGGAAUAAUACGGGACAGAGGAGGACGAUGUUGGUAUGAACUAAUGUUCUCUCUAUCUGUGGAGUGGAUGUGUGAGACACACCGUGCCCACUCAUUCACAGAAGGAUCAGUGUGCAACAUAACAAAGAAAUAAAAUAACGUGUAUGCAGUGAUCGUCCUCAAAUUCAGUCACAGAAGUAUUUGCAUCCACAAAUGUGUAUUUUUGUAAGCAUUCAAUAGUAUCAGGGGGUGUAGUAUUAAGAAGUACCAGAAAUAUAUUUAUAUUUAGGCAUGAAAAUAAGGAUUGAAAUAGUUAUUGAUCAAUAACUUUAGGUCACUGUUCACACAAAAGUGUGACAAGCGUGUUUCCAGCACCUUUGCCUCCAUCGGUACAAACGCCUCUCUGCUCCUCAGAGAUCUCCCAGACGCGACGCCUCUUUGUCAUCAAAUGACACUUCGAUUGACCUCCUCCAUUCCCCGGAGUGAUCGGGCCGACGUGGCAUCGGUUCGACCUUUGAACUCUACCCUCAACCAGACAGUUCGGCUGGCGGCGGUCAUGAUUUAUCUUCUUGGAUUCCCAUUGACUGACUGCGAUCACAGAUCAAUGCCGCUGACGCUAACGGCCAAAGUGGAGGAACAAGCAGGUCAGAUUUUAUUCUCUCUAACAAUUUAGGGCUGUCUCUAACACACAAACACACACAGGGGACUUUGUGCUCCAUCCAUUGCGGGUCAAAUGAGGGUAUGACCUCAUCUCAGCUGCGUAAAAAGCACCGAUGACCAACAAUGAAAUACGGAAUAAAACGUCUUUAAAUAAGUCAAGUGUUCGGUUAGCUGUAAACGUCGCAAAUAAUGCGAUUAAAAUCAAUAUGAUGCAUUUUGGAGUGGAUGAUAAUGUAAAGUAUGUUCAUGUGAGGAUGUAAAUACUGUAUAUUCACUGUGUAGGAUUCGUUUUUGACAGUUUCCUAUUAUCUGUGCAGAGCAAAAAACUAAUAUUACAUUAAAAACUGUACAAUUCAUAAUCCUUAGCGGCAGCAGUGGAUAUUUUGUUGUUAAGAGGGUGAUUGACAUGAGUGUUUCUGAUGGGAUAUUG